rnacentral:rRNA from 1 species
GACGAACGCUGGCGGCGUGCUUAACACAUGCAAGUCGAACGGAAAGGCCCUGCUUUUGUGGGGUGCUCGAGUGGCGAACGGGUGAGUAACACGUGAGUAACCUGCCCUUGACUUUGGGAUAACUUCAGGAAACUGGGGCUAAUACCGGAUAGGAGCUCCUGCUGCAUGGUGGGGGUUGGAAAGUUUCGGCGGUUGGGGAUGGACUCGCGGCUUAUCAGCUUGUUGGUGGUGUAGUGGCUUACCAAGGCUUUGACGGGUAGCCGGCAUGAGAGGGUGACCGGCCACAUUGGGACUGAGAUACGGCCCAGACUCCUACGGGAGGCAGCAGUGGGGAAUAUUGCACAAUGGGCGGAAGCGUGAUGCAGCAACGCCGCGUGCGGGAUGACGGCCUUCGGGUUGUAAACCGCUUUCGCCUGUGACGAAGCGUGAGUGACGGUAAUGGGUAAAGAAGCACCGGCUAACUACGUG